UACGUAGGGUGCGAGCGUUAAUCGGAAUUACUGGGCGUAAAGCGUGCGCAGGCGGUUCGUUAAGUCUGAUGUGAAAGCCCCGGGCUCAACCUGGGAAUGGCAUUGGAAACUGGCGGGCUGGAGUGUGGCAGAGGGGGGUGGAAUUCCGCGUGUAGCAGUGAAAUGCGUAGAGAUGCGGAGGAACACCGAUGGCGAAGGCAGCCCCCUGGGCUGACACUGACGCUCAGGCACGAAAGCGUGGGGAGCAAACAGG
rnacentral:rRNA from 1 species